rnacentral:lncRNA from 10 species
GGAAUACCCAGUGAAGCUUCAUCUCGGAAGUCUUGUGACCAUUCAAACCCAGAUUUCCAGGUGGUUUUGCUCUCAAGGUUCUUGGUUAAGCAUUCAGGACUGCACAAGCCCCUUUGAGCCUGUGUUCCAGAAGUAUGGGAGAAGAUUCAUGUAAAUGGCUGCGUUGGGAAACAGAGCAAACCGUAAUCAUUCACCACCAGAAUCACCACUUUCAGGAGAUGGAACUUCUACUAAUGACUUCAACGAAGCAGCCAACGAGUAUUUUCAAGCUUCAAUCACUUUUCCACACCCCUUUCUGGGAAGGUAACAGGAAACAGCAUUCAAAAGAGAAGCCCAAGGCGGCCAUCAGACAUGACUCUUGAAUCCACGUUACCCAAAACCCGUACCCACUGGGCAGAAAAUUUAUCUUUCUAAACUUCUUCAGUUUAACUCUAGCACCUUAUUAAAUUUCUUAAAUUAGGACUUAAUUAGUAAAUUCAAAAAUAAUUGCUACAAGGGAAAAUGAGGAAAGCUUCCUUUUUUAGUGUCCUUCUGAAGAAGAGAAAAAUAUUCACUAAAGUGCUUUCUUUGACUUUUUGGAGAUGGAAACUUAAAAACAUUAUUUUAAUCUUCUGCUGUUAUUUGCAUUUCCUCAUUUUGAAAAGAAAGUGUUUAGAAAUAGAAGCCCAAACCUCACUAUUAUGAAAUAUAUUUCUGUAACAAACCUGCACAUGGACCCCCUGAAUCUAAAAUAAAACGAUAAUAACAGAAUGAUCACAAAAAAUACAUAUG